GACGAACGCUGGCGGCGUGCUUAACACAUGCAAGUCGAACGGAGCGGCGGACGGGUGCGUAAUACCUAGGAAUCUGCCUGGUAGUGGGGGAUAACGUUCGGAAACGGACGCUAAUACCGCAUACUAUCAGAUGAGCCUAGGUCGGAUUAGCUAGUUGGUGAGGGAAUGGCUCACCAAGUCGAGGAUCCGUAACUGGUCUGAGAGGAUGAUCAGACACAGUGGAACUGAGACACGGCCCAGACUACUACGGGAGGCAGCAGUGGGGAAUAGUGGACAAUGGGCGAAAGCCUGAUCCAGCCAUGCCGCGUGGGUGAAGAAGGUCUUCGGAUUGUAAAGCACUUUAAGUUGGGAGGCGUUACCGACAGAAUAAGCACCGGCUAACUCUGUGCCAGCCGCCGCGGUAAUAC
rnacentral:rRNA from 1 species